UACGUAGGGAGCAAGCGUUGUCCGGAAUCAUUGGGCGUAAAGCGCGCGUAGGCGGCCCUGUAAGUCCGUUGUGAAAGUCAAAGGCUCAACCUUUGAAAGCCGAUGGAUACUGCAGGGCUAGAGUCCGGAAGAGGCGAGUGGAAUUCCUGGUGUAGCGGUGAAAUGCGUUGAUAUCAUCAGGAAUACCGGAGGCGAAGGCGGCUCACUGGGGGUUUUCUGACGCUGAGGAACGAAAGCCAGGGGAGCGAACGGG
rnacentral:rRNA from 1 species